rnacentral:rRNA from 1 species
AUUGAACGCUGGCGGCAGGCCUAACACAUGCAAGUCGAACGGUAGCACGGAGAGCUUGCUCUCGGGUGACGAGUGGCGGACGGGUGAGUAAUGUCUGGGAAACUGCCCGAUGGAGGGGGAUAACUACUGGAAACGGUAGCUAAUACCGCAUAACGUCGCAAGACCAAAGUGGGGGACCUUCGGGCCUCACACCAUCGGAUGUGCCCAGAUGGGAUUGCUAGUAGGUGGGGUAAUGGCUCACCUAGGCGACGAUCCCUAGCUGGUCUGAGAGGAUGACCAGCCACACUGGAACUGAGACACGGUCCAGACUCCUACGGGAGGCAGCAGUGGGGAAUAUUGCACAAUGGGCGCAAGCCUGAUGCAGCCAUGCCGCGUGUAUGAAGAAGGCCUUCGGGUUGUAAAGUACUUUCAGCGGGGAGGAAGGCGGUGAAGUUAAUAACUUCACCGAUUGACGUUACCCGCAGAAGAAGCACCGGGUAACUCCGUGCCAGCAGCCGCGGUAA